rnacentral:rRNA from 1 species
AUACGGAGGGUCCGAGCGUUAUCCGGAAUCAUUGGGUUUAAAGGGUCCGUAGGCGGGAAUCUAAGUCAGUGGUGAAAUCUUGCAGCUAAACUGUAAAAUUGCCAUUGAUACUGGAUUUCUUGAAUUAGUGUGAAGUGGUUAGAAUGUGUAGUGUAGCGGUGAAAUGCAUAGAUAUUACACAGAAUACCAAUUGCGAAGGCAGAUCACUAACACUAUAUUGACGCUAAGGGACGAAAGCGUGGGGAGCGAACAGGAUUAGAAACCCUAGUAGUCC